rnacentral:piRNA from 1 species
UGCCCUGGCAAGAAAGUUAAGCAGUGAAGU